rnacentral:misc_RNA from 1 species
UUGAAUGCACAGAGUUAAAGGCAGGU